rnacentral:rRNA from 1 species
CAACGCCGCGUGAGGGAUGACGGCCUUCGGGUUGUAAACCUCUUUUAGUUAAGGAAGAAGAACUUCGGUUUGACGGUACUUGCAGAAAAAAGACACCGGCUAACUACGUGC